UGGGACAUCUGUCUUCUCCUGCCCUUCGACAUCAGAACUCCAGUCUCUCCGGUCUUCUGACUCUGGAACUUGCACCAGUGGCCUGCCAGUUUCUCAGGCCUUGGACCUCAGGCUGAGAGUUGCACCAUCAGCUCCCCUGGUCUGAGGUUUUCAGAUUCGGACUGAGCCAUGCUACCAGCAUUCCAGAGUCUCCAGCUUGCAGACAGCCUGGAGUGGGACUUCUCAGCCUCCAUAAUCAUGCCCCGCUAGACGAAGAGCUGACCGCUCAGAGAAUGGUUACGAAAGGGACAAACAAGCCAACAAACGAAGUCCAGUCUCCCCAUUUGUUGUAACCGCCGGGUCCCCUUUGGUUGCCAUGGCACUUGAGGCCAGAAAGUCCUCAGCUCCCAGCUACCCAGAAGGAGAGGAGGUGGCCGUCUGUGUUCUCCAAACUUCUGGGACUCCUCAAGGAGUGAAGUCUGAUCUACGCACGGAACCAACCACCACGGCAAAGGAAGAGCGAUGGCGCCCCCAUGUGGCAACACAAGCACUGCGAUUUCACACAAGACCAAAUCAGAAUUGGCCGGAGGGGAACGUCAGAUUCUUAGGGAGUGUUACUCCAACUAAUGCUACACUCAGGGCGACUUCUUGGAAGGCAAAAGCCCCAUAGUCUAGCCAUACAACUUUCCAGAAAAGUAGCACUCUUCAAAACAGCUGGCAUUAAAAUUCUUGGCUCUGCCAUCCACCCGUUCUGUGAGACUCUUUCCUCAUCCCCAAAAAUGGAAGGUCUGAUGACUUCAAAAAGAGUUUUACCGUUUUUCCCCUCAUUGAAAAUAAUAGAAAACAGUAAAAUACUGC
rnacentral:lncRNA from 1 species